rnacentral:rRNA from 1 species
CAAUAGCGUAUAUUUAAGUUGCUGCAGUUAAAAAGCUCGUAGUUGGAUUUCGGGUGGGAAUGGCCGGUCCGCCGUUUCGGUGUGCACUUGCUACGCCCACCUUGCUGCCGGGGACGUGCUCUUGAGUUCACGCUCGGGACACGGAGUCGGCGAGGUUACUUUGAGUAAAUUAGAGUGUUCAAAGCAGGCCUACGCUCUGAAUACAUUAGCAUGGAAUAACACGAUAGGACUCUGGCCUAUCUUGUUGGUCUGUAGGACCGGAGUAAUGAUUAAGAGGGACAGUCGGGGGCAUUCGUAUUUCAUUGUCAGAGGUGAAAUUCUUGGAUUUAUGAAAGACGAACUACUGCGAAGGCAUUUGCCAAGGAUGUUUUCGUUAA